rnacentral:rRNA from 1 species
AGAGUUUGAUCCUGGCUCAGGACGAACGCUGGCGGCGUGCCUAAUACAUGCAAGUCGAACGGUUUAGUUCCAAGAGGCUUGCCUUUUGGAACUAGACAGUGGCGGACGGGUGAGUAACACGUAGGCAACCUACCUGUCAAACCGGGAUAACCUCGGGAAACCGAAGCUAAACCCGGAUAAGCUCCUUUUUCGCAUGAAGGGGGAGUGAAAAGGUGCGACCUGAUGACAGAUGGGCCUGCGGCGCAUUAGCUAGUAGGUAGGGUAACGGCCUACCUAGGCGAUGAUGCGUAGCCGACCUGAGAGGGCGUACGGCCACACUGGGACUGAGAUACGGCCCAGACUCCUACGGGAGGCAGCAGUGGGGAAUAUUGCACAAUGGGCGGAAGCCUGAUGCAGCAACGCCGCGUGCGGGAUGACGGCCUUCGGGUUGUAAACCGCUUUCGCCUGUGACGAAGCGUGAGUGACGGUAAUGGGUAAAGAAGCACCGGCUAACUACGUGCCAGCAGCCGCGGUAAUACGUAGGGUGCGAGCGUUAUCCGGAAUUAUUGGGCGUAAAGAGCUCGUAGGCGGCUUGUCGCGUCGACUGUGAAAACCUGCAGCUUAACUGUGGGCCUGCAGUCGAUACGGGCAGGCUAGAGUGCGGUAGGGGAGACUGGAAUUCCUGGUGUAGCGGUGGAAUGCGCAGAUAUCAGGAGGAACACCGGUGGCGAAGGCGGGUCUCUGGGCCGUUACUGACGCUGAGGAGCGAAAGCGUGGGGAGCGAACAGGAUUAGAUACCCUGGUAGUCCACGCCGUAAACGAUGUCGACUUGGAGGUUGUGCCCUUGAGGCGUGGCUUCCGGAGCUAACGCGUUAAGUCGACCGCCUGGGGAGUACGGCCGCAA